UUAAGUUCAGCGGGUAUCCCUACCUGAUCCGAGGUCAACCUUUGAAAAUUUAGGGUUGCUGGCAAGACACCGCCUGACGUCUAUAGCGAGGAGUAUUACUACGCUUAGAGCCAAAGGGCACCGCCACUGAUUUUAAGGCCCGCCCAGAGGCGAAGGCCCAAGACCUAACCAUGAGGCUAGAUUGGUUUAAAUGACGCUCG
rnacentral:misc_RNA from 1 species